CAGCCAGAGAGACUGGAGCUCCCAAGGCAAAGGUGUGAGAAGGAGCCUGACUGUAGGUCCAGCUUAAGCUGAGUUCCCAUGUGAGCAGCGAGGAGCAGUGUCUCUUCCUUCUCGACCUCCAGGGAGUGCCGGGAGCACUCAUCUGCUUGGUGCUUUGAGGUGACAUGCUCCUGUGCAAUGGCUCAGUGUAAUAUGCGGCUCCUGCUCUCCACUCCUUGGAGCCAUGAGGAGCCAACAACAGUGGUUGCAGACUGCCUGGGGCUAGGUUGAAUGCUGGAGAUGGAGACGGCUGGGAUGCAGAAAGCAGGUGUCACUGCAGACGGGUCUGGCACGGCCCCUCCCUGUACCCUUCCUUGCAGGGGGACCCUGGGUGCAGGGUCAGUGAAGAAGAGGUUGUUUUUAUAACAAAAAAUAAACCAUGACCUGCUGGCAGAGCAGUAGAGUUAGGUGGUCCUUUGUUUCUUUGAUUCUCUUUCUCACAUGAGAGCUCUCCGGGCUGUGAGGGAAGGUCAUUCCCAGGGUUGACAGCAGGAAGGUUGCAUCUCACUGUGCCCCUGUGGUAAGUGCUGCAGUCCCACACCUGGCAGUAAGGAGAAACCUCAUUCUGGGCUUGGAUUACAGCAAUGGACAGCGUAGCCAUGUUACUGGAGUCGAAACCCAAAACAUAGUCAGUUCUACCGUGGAGAAAUCCUGCACCCCACUUGGCCUUACA